CCUGAAUCAUUAAGGACAAACAUGUUGGGACCUCAUUUCUGCUGUUCCUCCACCUUGACUGAAAUUGGUCAUUCUGUAAACAGUAUUCAUUUCAUUGAACAUCUGUUUUUGCUGAACAUUCAAAAGUAGGGUUAUACAUUAUCUUGAGUGCGCAGUGUGCCAAUACUAAAACAAAAAUAUGGUUGUUCUGCCCCUGGCAUUGAAAGUGUAUAUUGUUCUUAAUGUGUGUAGCAUAGGUGCCUGUACCUUUAAUUGAGGGAAUGCUCUAGGGGAGAGGCUGCUAGUUAGGUGACAGGAAGUCAAAAGCACAUGUUCACGUAGGAAGCAUGCAAGAUUAGCAGUUUGAUCAGCUCUUCAAAAACGAUGCAGUUCAACGAUGCCAUGCCGUAAUUCCGACGCCUCAUUGUUCCGACGUCUCAAUGGUCCGAAAUAUUUCCCAUUAGAUCGACAUGCCACUAUGCCGACGGUUCCCAUUGGUCCGAAAACGGAACCCAUUGGUCCGAAGGUCAGUUUGUCUGACUUUUCAAAAAGGAGGCGCUUUAGGCCGACGCUUCAAUAUGCCGAAUAGGCCAAGGCGCAAUUCCACAUGUGUGAUGAUGAAACCAAAAAUAAAAAGACGAUAGGCUAAGUUCCAGCAGUGCACUUCACCAAGCCAGACUGUUGCUGUGGGCUUGAACGGUCACAAGAGGUGAAUUUAUGAAGCGCACGUUAUACUUUAUCUGUAAAGAAGUCAAACGGAUACUGACAUCGCAACAAAGAGGGAGAUUGCACUCAAAUGUCUCAUUAACAUGGGAGCAGCAGUGGAGGACCUCAAAGAUUUCCUGGUGUCGGAGAAGGAAGAAGCUGAAAUGGUUCUUCAGCAGGAAACCAUGGCAGUCUUUGUCAUCAGAGAUGCACAAGCCUUACCUCAAGACAUUGGCAUCAUACUUGAGGGACAACAGGUUCA